rnacentral:rRNA from 2 species
GAACGAGUUCUGAUUAUUGAAGGGUGCUUGCAUCUUGAUUUAAUUUUGAACGAGUGGCGGACGGGUGAGUAACACGUGGGUAACCUGCCCUUAAGUGCCGGAUAACAUUUGGAAACAGAUGCUAAUACCGCAUAAAUCCAAGAACCGCAUCGUUCUUGGCUGAAAGAUGGCGUAAGCUAUCGCUUUUGGAUGGACCCGCGGCGUAUUAGCUAGUUGGUGAGGUAACGGCUCACCAAGGCAAUGAUACGUAGCCGAACUGAGAGUUGAUCGGCCACAUUGGGACUGAGACACGGCCCAAACUCCUACGGGAGGCAGCAGUAGGGAAUCUUCCACAAUGGACGCAAGUCUGAUGGAGCAACGCCGCGUGAGUGAAGAAGGCUAUUCGGGUCGUAAAACUC